AGUGAACGCUGGCGGUAGGCCUAACACAUGCAAGUCGAACGGCAGCACAGUAAGAGCUUGCUCUUACGGGUGGCGAGUGGCGGACGGGUGAGGAAUACAUCGGAAUCUACUUUUUCGUGGGGGAUAACGUAGGGAAACUUACGCUAAUACCGCAUACGACCUACGGGUGAAAGCAGGGGAUCUUCGGACCUUGCGCGAUUGAAUGAGCCGAUGUCGGAUUAGCUAGUUGGCGGGGUAAAGGCCCACCAAGGCGACGAUCCGUAGCUGGUCUGAGAGGAUGAUCAGCCACACUGGAACUGAGACACGGUCCAGACUCCUACGGGAGGCAGCAGUGGGGAAUAUUGGACAAUGGGCGCAAGCCUGAUCCAGCCAUACCGCGUGGGUGAAGAAGGCCUUCGGGUAGUAAAGCCCUUUUGUUGGGAAAGAAAAGCAGCAGGUUAAUACCCCGCUGUUCUGACGGUACCCAAAGAAUAAGCACCGGCUAACUUCGUG
rnacentral:rRNA from 1 species